AUGACAUACCAGAGGUGGAAAAAUUUACCAUGGGACUUAUCAGGACUAAGCCAAGAACCUGGAAAAGCAGAGAACUCCUGGAGUGAAGAGAGUAGGGAAGUCUUAAAAGAAAUACACCUGCUGUUCACACCGUUCCACAGUAUAAGUACGCUGCGGGAGUUCACGAUCCUCAACAGCAUCUUAAUACACAGCCACAAGUUACCAUGCAGCAGCCUGCUCUUCAUGUACAAGGUCAGGAGCCUUUGACUGCUUCCAUGUUGGCAUCUGUCCCUUCUCAAGAGCAAAAGCGAAUGUUGGGUGAACAGCUCUUUCCUCUAAUUCAAGCCAUGCACCCUACUCUUGCUGGUAAAAUCACUGGCAUGUUGUUGGAGAUUGAUAAUUCAGAACUUCUUCAUAUGCUUGAGUCUCCAGAGUCUCCGUUCUAAAGUUGAUGAAGCUGUAGCUGUACUACAAGCCCACCAAGCUAAAGAGGCUGCCCAGAAAGCAGUUAACAGUGCCACUGGUGUUCCAACUGUUUAAAAUUGAUCAGUGACUAUGAAAAGAAACUCGUGCUUCACCGAAGAAAAAUAUCUAAACAUCAAAAAACUUAAACAUUAUGGAAAAAAAAUAACAUUGCAAAAUAUAAAAUAAAUUAAAAAAAGGAAAGGAAACUUUGAACCUUAUGUACUGAGAAAAUGCCAGGUCUAGCAAACAUAAUGCUAGUCCUAGAUUACAUAUUGAUUUAAAAACAACAACAAAAAAACCCCACAAAAAAUAGUAAAAUAUAAAAACAAAUUAAUGUUUUAUAGACCCUGGGAAAAAGAAUUUUCAGCAAAGUACAAAAAUUUAAAGCAUUCCUUUCUUUAAUUUUGUAAUUCUUUACUGGGGAAUAGCUCAGAAUGUCACUUCUGUUUUAAAUAACAGAAUUGAUAACUGAGCAAGGUAACGUAAUUUGGAUUAUAAAAUUCUUGCUUUAAAAAAAAUUCCCUAAACAG